rnacentral:tRNA from 1 species
UAGGAUUUGGUGUACUUGGUAGCACGAAGAAUUUUGGAUU